AAAUACCAACUAACAUCUCGAAUCGUUAGCAAUCAACUUACAUCGCUCGAUGAAGUUGGUUGUUCACCAUCAUUCCAUUCAUAAAUUCCGUUGCAACUUUCUUUUGGAACCAUUUAUCAUCAAAAUUUCAAUAGAGCCUUUUUUUCUGUUGGUCGGAAGUUUGGGUCAGCCCAAGCUUCGGCCGGGUGUCCAUCCCAGAUGGGAGGGUCUGCAUAAACGUCUUUAAGGCAUCAUUUUGGUGGCGUCUUCUUGACGCUCGUGCACCUUACUCGCUGAGAACAUUAACAUCAAUUAUGACACCAUUAAACACUUUUUUUUAUUAUUACUUUAUUACUACUUCAUAACUCUACAAUUUAUUGGUAUUGAAUGUAUUGAACAAGUUAAUAUAAAGAUGGCCUUCAGAAUUGAAACUAUAUAGAAAAAAGGAAUCAAUCAUUGAUAUUAAACUAUAUAAAAUAAGUAUAAACCACAUCAUAAGUAUUAUUUAGAAGACUAUAAAUCGAGUAUUAUUAAGACAUGACUUAAAAAAUCAACUAUUAUUAACAAACAAGACUAUAAAUCAAGUAUUGUUGAGACAUGGAAUUAUGAGAGACUACAAUCGUUGCUACAAGGAAAUACAAGUACCCCGUAAGGAGGGUGCUCCCUUUGAGCAUACCUGGAAGGAACUUUAAGUUCCUCGCCAAUAUGGAGUUAACACAAGACUCCAAUAUCAGGUAUAACAUCAUCAAUACUACUUGAUUCAAGCUGACUACCAACAAAUGAUAUAGUCAUGAUUAAUAAAUGAUACUUAAGAAUGGAAA